CAUAGUUCCUGUUUGGGAGGUAGCAUGAUUGCAAGAUGAGAGAGUCACAUGUGAAGGCCUUUGGCUUCUGAGCAUAGGGCACCCUUGAAGGAGUCUCCUAUCUCAAAGGGAAAAACCCCAACGGCUGUGUUCAAUCUGUCAGCACCUGGGAAGUUAAACAGUGACGAGACCAGGUGGACCUGCUGUUUGCUUGUUCUUUGGACUUUGCCGUCUCAAUUAAAAAUUGUAAUUCUGUAGUUGAAGCAGGGUCUCACUAUGCAGGCCAGGCUCGUCUCUAAGUUGAGGCUGACCUCCUGCCUCUGGUUUAGAGUUCUUUGUUCCUGCAGGAUGUCAGGUUGUCUGACUGCCACGCCGUGUGUAAACUGCACAGGGCAGGGCUGCUCUUUCUCCCCUCUCGUCCUAGCACUGCGCGUGGACCAGCAUUGCCCCGUGAUUUGUCACAGUGACCAAAAAUGACUGACAUAAUCUACGACUGCAAAGUCAAACAGCGGAGGCCCACGGUCUCUGAGAUGCCUUCCCUCCCUUGAGUUUGACUCUGGUGCGGUGUCUAGGCCCAGCCCAGCCCCUGCCUUCCUGGAAUUUACUCUGCAACAGGACUGCCUGGGAAGACAUGAGACUGACACCCAGACCCACAGUUCUCACACUCCCUCCACAACCCCCCUUCACAAGUGAGAAGAGCACAGUGAGGUAUCUGGGGCA